rnacentral:piRNA from 1 species
UCCUGCGUAAGCCACUGGGCAUCCUUUAGC